rnacentral:rRNA from 1 species
GAUGAACGCUGGCGGCGUGCCUAAUACAUGUAAGUCGAGCGCGAGAGUGAGGAGCUUGCUCCUCAUGAUCGAGCGGCGGACGGGUGAGUAACACGUAGGCAACCUACCCUUGAGAUUGGGAUAACUACCGGAAACGGUAGCUAAUACCGGAUACGACUUUUCCACAUAAGUGGAAUGGUUAAAAGGCGGAUUUAUCUGCCGCUCAUGGAUGGGCCUGCGGUGAAUUAGCUAGUUGGUGAGAUAGUGGCUCACCAAGGCGAGGAUGCAUAGCCGAACGGAGAGGGGGAGCGACCACACGGGGAGUGAGACACGGCCCAGAAUCCUACGGGAGGCAGCAGUAGGGAAUCUUCCGCAAUGGACGCAAGUCUGACGGAGCAACGCCGCGUGAGUGAUGAAGGGUUUCGGCUCGUAAAACUCUGUUGUUAAGGAAGAACACUUGAGGUAGUAACUGGCCUUGAGAUGACGGUACUUAACCAGAAAGCCACGGCUAACUACGUGCCAGCCGCCGCCGUAA